AUUGAACGCUGGCGGCAGGCCUAACACAUGCAAGUCGAACGGUAACAGAAAGCAGCUUGCUGCUUUGCUGACGAGUGGCGGACGGGUGAGUAAUGUCUGGGAAACUGCCUGAUGGAGGGGGAUAACUACUGGAAACGGUAGCUAAUACCGCAUAACGUCGCAAGACCAAAGAGGGGGACCUUCGGGCCUCUUGCCAUCGGAUGGGCCCAGAUGGGAUUAGCUAGUAGGUGGGGGAACGGCUCACCUAGGCGAGUAUCCCUAGCUGGUCUGAGAGGAUGAGCAGCCACACUGGAACUGAAACACGGUCCAGACUCCUACGGGAGGCAGCAGUGGGCAAUAUUGCACAAUGGGCGCAAGCCUGAUGCAGCCAUGCCGCGUGUAUGAAGAAGGCCUUCGGGUUGUAAAGUACUUUCAGCGGGGAGGAAGGGAGUAAAGUUAAUACCUUUGCUCAUUGACGUUACCCGCAGAAGAAGCACCGGCUAACUCCGUG
rnacentral:rRNA from 1 species